rnacentral:rRNA from 1 species
GCUUGCAACCAGACUUGCAGGCGGUCGAUCAUCCGAGGUUCUCCCCGGUGCACUCGAUCGUCUUCAGGCCAGCAUCGGUUUCGGUGGCGGGAUAAAGGCUCUAGGAAUGUGGCUCUUCGGAGUGUUAUAGCCUAGGGUGCAAUGCCGCCUACCGGGACCGAGGACCGCGCUUCGGCUAGGAUGCUGGCGUAAUGGUUGUAAGCGGCCCGUCUUGAAACACGGACCAAGGAGUCUAACAUCUAUGCGAGUGUUUGGGUGUCAAACCCAUACGCGUAAUGAAAGUGAACGGAGGUGAGAGCCCUUUAGGGCGCAUCAUCGACCGAUCCUGAUGUCUUCGGAUGGAUUUGAGUAAGAGCAUAGCUGUUGGGACCCGAAAGAUGGUGAACUAUGCGUGAAUAGGGUGAAGCCAGAGGAAACUCUGGUGGAGGCUCGCAGCGGUUCUGACGUGCAAAUCGAUCGUCAAAUUUGCGUAUAGGGGCGAAAGACUAAUCG